rnacentral:misc_RNA from 1 species
GAUGAAGAACGUAGCGAAAUGCGAUAAGUAAUGCGAAUUGCAGAAUUUCCGUGAGUCAUCGAAUCUUUGAACGGACAUUGCGCCCACUGGUAUUCCGGUGGGCAUGCCUGUUCGAGCGUCAUUAUCCUCCCUCAAACCCCGGGUUUGGUGUUGGACCGAAGUUGUGUGAACAACUGGUCUAAAAAACAAUGACGGCGUCCGUGGGACCCUCGGUGCAACGAGCUUUUAGGAGCACGCGCCGAGUUGCAAGGACCUUCCGGGCCGGUCUCCUUUUACUAUUUUACAAGGUUGACCUCGGAUCAGGUAGGAAUACCCGCUGAACUUAAGCAUAUCAAUAAGCGGAGA